AAGCAGAGAUUUUACCUCGUACCUUUUGCAUCAUGAUUUAGCCAGUGCAACCCAAGCAAAGAGCACUUUAGUUUGUUAACCCGAAACUUUGUGAGCUACUCCAAGGCAACCUAAUUAAUAGGGCCAACCCGUCUCUGUAGCAAAAGAGUGGGAAGACCUUCGAGUAGAGGUGAUAAACCUACCGAACUUAGUAAUAGCUGGUUGCCCAUCAACUGGAUAGAAGUUCAGCCUCCCGGCUUCUUCCUUCCUAUAAUUUUCUUAUACACAGAUUCUACAAGAAACCGAGAGAGUUAGUCGAAGGGGGUACAGCCCCUUAGAAACAAGAUACAACUUUUUUAGGAGGAUAAAGAUCACAAUUAAAUAAGGCAAAACAUCAGGGUGGGCCUGAAAGCAGCCAUCCCAUCAAAAAGCGUUAAAGCUCAGACACUUUAUUUUCAAGCCUCAAGUCUCGACCAUCACCUCUUACUCCCCUUAUCCUACUGGGCCGUCCCAUGCAAACAUGGGAGCGAUUCUGCUAAAAUCAGUAUACAAGAGAGCCUAACGGCUCUCUCCCUGCAUACGUGUAAAUCGGAAGCGGACAACCCACCGAACCUUAACGGCCCCAAAAAAAGAGGGAACUGAACCACAAACAAAACAACUAGAAAAAUACCCAAAACAAACAACCGUUACCCCUACACAGGUAUGCUCGUAGGGAAAGACUAAAAGAAAGAGAAGGAACUCGGCAAACACUCAGCCUCGCCUGUUUACCAAAAACAUCGCCUCUUGCUAAACCGAAAGUAUAAGAGGUCCCGCCUGCCCUGUGACUAUAUGUUUAACGGCCGCGGUAUUUUGACCGUGCGAAGGUAGCGCAAUCACUUGUCUUUUAAAUGGGGACCUGUAUGAAUGGCAUAACGAGGGCUUGACUGUCUCCUCUUUCAAGUCAGUGAAAUUGAUCUCCCCGUGCAGAAGCGGGGAUAAAAACAUAAGACGAGAAGACCCUAUGGAGCUUCAGACACUAAAGCAGCUCAACAUUAAUACCCUAAACAUAGGACACGAAUACAUUGAAUCCUGCCCUAAUGUCUUAGGUUGGGGCGACCGCGGAGAAACAAAAAACCCCCGCAAGGACCGAAUGCACUGCAUUUAUAAUCAAGAACGACAGCUCUAAUUAACAGAUACUUCUGACCAAUAAGAUCCGGCAGCGCCGAUUAAUGAACCAAGUUACCCUAGGGAUAACAGCGCAAUCUCCUCUUAGAGCCCAUAUCAACGAGGAGGUUUACGACCUCGAUGUUGGAUCAGGACAUCCUAAUGGUGCAGCCGCUAUUAAGGGUUC
rnacentral:rRNA from 1 species